rnacentral:misc_RNA from 1 species
UAGGCGGUCGGCGAGCCUUCUCGUUGGUUCUUCUGAAGUUUACAACUUCUCACUGUGGGAUUCUCGAUACGAACGACAAGGCGGAAGCGGAAGCGCACCAUUCUCGCCUCACAGACUCUGAUAAGCCAAGCAUUCUGCUACCUACAUAUAAACGUACUUUCCGUUUCCAAAAUACGAAAAUCCAACGCGUUGCAUUUGAAACACGUUAUCUUAAUAUCCAUCGGCUCUCGAUAAAAAAUGACAAUAUGUCCUAUUAGUCGUGCGUUGGAUCAUCAAUCGUAAAACCGUUGCAUUAAAUGUAAUUUUUGAGAACACAGUUAUCUACGUUUAAUUCUGUCGAAAUCGUUCCGGGGCAAUGCGUAUCGAAUAUUCUCGCACCGUUGAAAAAUGAAUAGCCCGUUCUAGCGGCGGUAGAUAUAUCGUAGCAAGUCAGGUAUACGUACUUACGUGUACAUAAAAGUUAGAAAGAGAGGAGAUAGAAGAAGAAAGCGCCGAAUGGAGGGUGGAUUGUGGAACGCAAGACUGAAGAGUGGGGCCGGAGGCAGCCGCUGAGGUGUGAUACGGAACGUCG